UUGCUUCCGCAGCACACACGCUAAAAUUGGAACAAUUCAGAGAAUAUUAGCAUGACCCCUACGAAAGGAUGGCACAUAAAUUUAUGAAGUGUUCCAUGUUUUA